rnacentral:lncRNA from 1 species
UGGUUUUGGUUUUGGAAGGUGGCUUCGUCUUUUUCUUUUUUAUUUAUUUCUAUUGAAUCUUUAAAAAAUCAUAAUAAAUCACAGAAAAUCAUAAAAUCAAAAAUUCAAUUUGUUUGGACUCCUGAUGAGUAGAUCUAUAGAGUGAAUAUAUAAUAUGGUAUACUUUAGUACAAAGUUUUUGCUGUAGCUUUAAAUCUAUACUUUUCUGCAAUUAAUAAGAAUAAUUUAUAUAUGUAGUUCCUAUGGUUCAAUUGUAAAUUUUUUUAUGGUGGGCUCAUUUUUGUAUGCUUGAACUAUGGUAGAAGUUUCGUACUCACUGGAUCACGUAUAACUUAGUUAUAGAUUUAUUUAGCUGUAUUCUUGUUAAAUCUGUGCUUUAUCUAUAACUA